rnacentral:rRNA from 1 species
AACGAACGCUGGCGGCAUGCCUAACACAUGCAAGUCGAACGAGACUUUCGGGUCUAGUGGCGCACGGGUGCGUAACGCGUGGGAACCUGCCCUUAGGUUCGGAAUAACUCACCGAAAGGGGUGCUAAUACCGGAUAAUGUCUUCGGACCAAAGAUUUAUCGCCUUUGGAUGGGCCCGCGUUGGAUUAGCUAGUUGGUAGGGUAAAGGCCUACCAAGGCGACGAUCCAUAGCUGGUCUGAGAGGAUGAUCAGCCACACUGGGACUGAGACACGGCCCAGACUCCUACGGGAGGCAGCAGUGGGGAAUAUUGGGCAAUGGGCGAAAGCCUGAUCCAGCAAUGCCGCGUGAAUGAUGAAGGCCUUAGGGUUGUAAAGCUCUUUUACCCGGGAUGAUAAUGACAGUACCGGGAGAAUAAGCUCCGGCUAACUCCGUG